GUUUUUAUUGCUACUAACAACACAAAACUGAACUUUUAGUACUGGGAAUUAGAAUGAGUGCUAUGGAACUCUGACAGAAUUAUAGCAGAUUUGUACAUAUAUGGUUUUACAUUGAGUAGAGUAAGAACUGGAACUAAUUUGUUGUUACAAAAGUAAAAGUACAAAUGUCCUCAAAAUAAUAUCCCAGAACAAGAGUGAAUCUGAGGACACCUAACUAUGCUAACAUUACAUGUGGAAAGAUGAAAGAGCCUUUAAUUCUAAUUUUUGCAAAUAACCCUUUUAUGAUUUAUCAGAUUUUAAGAGUUGUUUCUUAAUUAAAAACAUAUAUUAGUUGUAUAUGAGUUUAUUUCUAUGUAUGACUUUUAAAUGUUGUACUUCCAAUUAGCUUAACACCUUCUAGUACAAAUUAAAAAUUAGGUAAAGUGAGUCAAUGAGAAAUGCCACAAGUGACAUUUCCUAUAAACAUGAAAUUAAGUAAAAACUCUCAUGGUUGUUAACUGUUCCCAGAUGGAACAAUGAUAGUUCAAAGCUACAAUCCAGCACACACAACUUUCAGGUAAAUUCUGUGGUUUAUAGGUUUAUUUGGAAAUAUCUACAGUUAAAUUUUCCUUCUUCUGAACUUGACACAACAUUAUUUCUCAUUUUCUUUCUUUUGCUGUAUUCACAAUGGACUGAUUUUUACACUAACUGGUACAUUGGCACCAGAGUCCCAAAACCAAACCCCUUCAAUGUGGAAUUCAUAUAGGAAAAAAAAAAGGGGGGGAUUUCUCUUUCCUAAGUAGAAAACACAACACAACAUCUGUAGCCCACCACUCAAGGGCUAAAUCUGCCUCCAUGUCAAAGAAAGAACCUGGUUAGAAAUUUAUCUUUUUUGUGAUUGUUGAAAACUAAAUUAAAGCAUUUGGGACUGGGGAAGGUGUGAAUCCAUCUUCAAAUGCAACAUUUAAAUUGAAUUCACAUGGGGGAAGACAGGAGAAUUCCAAGCACAGGCUGAGCUGAGGAGGCUCUGGAACUUGUUCAGCCCUGGGAUGUGUUUGGGACUGGAGCUGAACUCCAGGGACAUUGGCCACAUAAAGAACUCUCAGGACAAAUAAAUUUUGCCUUGUUUGUCCCAGGGUUAUGGGACAGAUGAGGGUUACAUUUACAGCAAAAGGGACACAAAAUUGAAAUAUGAAUUUUUAUGCAUAAUUACUAGCACGGAGUUUGCUCUCCUGUUUUCCUACUCAAUUCCCAGACUGUCAGGAGAAUUAUCAACCUCUUAAAGGCAGCAAGCUGUGUGACCUGGGUGUAGGGAUUUGUCAGGGGAAGAAAUUUCCAGGUUUUGGUCACAAAGGAACAUUAGGAACAUUAAGCAUUCUUCAUAACAAAGCCUGAUUCUUUUUCAAAAACCCCAAAACUAUACAAUGUCUUUUAAAAAAGAAUACCAAAAAAUAGUGUGUCUAGUGGUUUUAUACAAUAAAUAAUCUAUUUUCUAUAAAUGUACAAAAUAGUUACACAGCAAGUAAGAAACUGAUACAAAUGCAAUAACUGAAAGAUAUAUUUAAUUUUAUAACUGUAAUAAUUUAUUUAUGAAAUAUAUCCACAUAUAUAUAAAAUAUAUCAUAUGCUUUGGCAAAGACCUCCCUUUCUUGUUUUGAACAAAAACUAUUACUACUGGUUUAAGCCCUAUAUAGAUAUUUUUACUGUUGAUUUCUUUUCACUUUUCCUUUGGUCUCCAUCUUUCUUCUUCUAAAAUAUAAUUUAAAAACAGGGGGUUAUUGUUUAACCUAUGUGCCCUGGGGAAAGUCUGCAUGAAGGUCAGUAAACCCCAAAAAAAAUUUGUAAUGUCACAAGUAAGGGCUUUCCUCCCUUUUAAAUAAUAUAGAACAGGAUUUGCAAAAGUUACUCUUUUUCCUUUGCUUACUCUUGUAUCCUUGUAGCAAAAAUAAGUCCAUAAUUUCUGAAGAAAUCGUUUACACUGAAAAAUGUCCAGGGUUGGAUUUAAUCCUUAUUGCCAAGUUUCUGGGUUACUUGGUGCUGGUGUUUCAAUGGAGAGAUAAAGGUGGGAUUUGUGCAAAGCCCAGGGGAUGUGCUGUGGCUGUGACCUGUAGGGGCCUGGCACAGCAAAUGGCCAGCACAGAACUGACUCUGAUGGCAUCAAGUUCCACAGUCCUAGCCUUGCAUCUGUAGGAAAAUUCUUUGGGAUGAAUCACUGAAGUUCUGUUCACCAGCUACAGUGCAUCCCCAAAUAAUCACUGUAAGUGUGUUUGAAUGGAACUUCCAAGUGCAGGAAUAACUUGUGCCUAAAUUAGGUAAUCUAUUGAAUACUCAAUGCAUACUCUUAACUUGCUAUAGUUUAUAAUAGUAUUUAUAUUAGCCAUUCAUAUUUAUUCUGCAUAGAUACUGUCAUUUAAACAUCUGCCACAAAGUUACAAUAUGAUGAUUCAGGCUUGCAUACAUUAACAAGAGAAAUAUUUUGUAUCUGUUUAUUCUUAAUGAGAACUGAUGUAGAGGCAAUCUCCCUCUAACUCUCCUCAUUCUCCACUUGCAGCUGCCUGCACAGAGCUGUGGAUGGAAUCUUCAGACACUGAGCAAACAUUUAUCCCUUAGGUUGGAUGAAAUGAACUCAUGAGAAGCCCUCAGAAGGCUGUUUGGAAGAGAGAAGUAUUUUUAGUGGAGCUACAAACAGGAAACCACCAGUGGCCAGAUAAGAUAUGAAAAAUUUAAAACUCUCAAAGCACCUCAUCCCCAGAAGGACAAGGAUCAUUUCAGGGAUGCAUUAUGACUUGCCAGGAAUUAAUGAGCCAAUUCUGGAAGCACUGAAAAGGAGCUUUGCUAUCCAACAAAAGUUUUCUCAGAGAAGUACAUUCAGGAAAAUAGAGCCAAGCAUGAGGA